CCUACGGGGUGCAGCAGUGGGGAAUAUUGGGCAAUGGGCGCAAGCCUGACCCAGCAACGCCGCGUGAAGGAAGAAGGCUUUCGGGUUGUAAACUUCUUUUAAGGGGGAAGAGCAUAAGACGGUACCCCUUGAAUAAGCCACGGCUAACUACGUGCCAGCAGCCGCGGUAAUACGUAGGUGGCAAGCGUUGUCCGGAUUUACUGGGUGUAAAGGGCGUGCAGCCGGUGAGACAAGUCAGAUGUGAAAUCCACGGGCUCAACCCGUGAACUGCAUUGGAAACUGUUUCCCUUGAGUGUCGGAGAGGUAAGCGGAAUUCCUGGUGUAGCGGUGAAAUGCGUAGAUAUAAGGAAGAACACCAGUGGCGAAGGCGGAUUACUGGACGAUAACUGACGGUGAGGCGCGAAAGCGUGGGGAGCAAACAGGAUUAGAUACCCGUGUAGUC
rnacentral:rRNA from 1 species